rnacentral:rRNA from 1 species
UGGGUAACCUGCCCAAGAGAUCGGGAUAACACCUGGAAACAGAUGUUAAUACCGGAUAACAACAGAUGAUGCCUAUCAACUGUUUAAAAGAUGGUUCUGCUAUCACUCUUGGAUGGACCUGCGGUGCAUUAGCUAGUUGGUAGGGUAACGGCCUACCAAGGCGAUGAUGCAUAGCCGAGUUGAGAGACUGAUCGGCCACAUUGGGACUGAGACACGGCCCAAACUCCUACGGGAGGCAGCAGGG